UGGGGUGCAGCAGUGGUGGGGGGUGGCCUAUAGGAAGGAGAAUGAGGUUCCUGGAUUGUCCCCACCUAGGAGGGGUGUGUGUGAUGGGAAAUGGAGGACCCCCGCAAACUGGAAAGACUCAACGCUUGGGGCUGGUUCAUAUGUGGCGUUUUGUGGUCACUGGAGCCCAGGGAGAAGCGUGUGAUUUGUGAGAUGACGUGUCUUCAGACAGCUUGUUAAAAUGCCCCCUGUCAGGUGGUGGGGGUGGUGAGUUGGUGCCUCUUGAGACCCCUCCUCAUUCAAGGCAGCAGCUGCCAGAUGUGAUGAGUACUGUUAGGCCCAAAGGAGGAAGAACAGGUGAGGUUACCUGAUGGUGUCGGGGGUGGGGCAGUGGGGCGCUUGAAUAGGAUCAGAAGCGAGGAGGACCCGGCCGGGCCAGAGUGUGCUCGGCCACGGCCUCCUGGAGCAGCGACGCCUCUGCGUCAGGGAGGGGCGGCCCCGGACCUUCUGCUGGUGCAGGUGGAGCCCUCUGAACACCCAGUGGAGGCACCCUGGAGCCUCCAAGGCAGUGGGGGGAGCCUGAGGAUCAGGCCAGGGGACUCCUUGACUCAGGAGUUCUCUGACCAGGCCCAGAGCUGGGGCGGCACUCAGUGGCGGGGAGGCAGGGGGAAUUGCCAGCGCUCAGGCUGACCCUUCGCAGAGCCUCUGGGCGGCGACUCAGAGGCCUCAGGGUGCCGUGGGACAGGCAGGCCGGGAGGGAGGAGACCCGGCUUCCAGCAGGGGAGCGGGAGAACUUGCCAGUGUGGGUCCCAGAGUUUGGAUCCCGGCCUUGCCGCUUUCUGUCAUUGAGCCAUCGGACUUCUGUCUGUGCCUCACUUUGUCGUCUGUAAAGUGGGGUUGCUGGCUCACACGGCUGUCAUGAAGAGUACCCAGGACAUCACCAAGUGCCUUGCACAGCCCUGGUUAUUAUUGUCUCAGCCGCUCAAGACUCCCAGUGACCUUGGGCGGAACUUCUGUUUUCCUGUUUGUGAAGUGGUGGCGGUUGGGGUGGAGGAUGUGGGCCAUGUCUGGGGCCCCGCAUCUCUGACCGCCUGAGAUCCAGGGGGCUCACCAGGAGCCUAGGUCUGCUGCCCAGCCACCCACAGGCCAGUGAGCCCUUGAAUGGAGCCAAGGAGAGAAAGUAGGCUCUACAAACACAGGAAGGGACAUAGAGGAGGUGUGGGGACAUCUGCCUAUCCCCCAUUCGUGUGUCCAUCUGUUCAUCCAUCCACCUGCCUGCCCGCCGGGCCGGGGUGGAGCAUUCCUGUGGGGUCAUGUGCCGGCGUUUCUUUCGUCGGGAGGAUUAAAGGCACACGCAGCCCGCUUUCCUUUCAUGUACAAAGGGCCACUCAUUCAGAGUGAUGAGAGACGGGCAGCAGUGGGGGAAGGAGGUGACACCGACCUUGGCGCCUCCUGCAGGACAGGGUGGGGGCCGCCGGGCAUCCUUCCUGCAGGAGGGUCUGCCCAGUGGGGCUCCGGACCACGCCCUGGACACAGGCUCUGCCCACCUCCAAACCCCUGGGCCCUUUCUCUGAAGGCCUCUCCAGGAAAGUCUGUCUCUGCAGCACCCCUGGUGGCCCACUGCCCGAGCCUCUCCACUGGCCCUCUCUGGAGUAACUCUUCCUUUCCUGAGAAUGCUUCUGCUGCAGAACUCGGCUCACCAGGUGCCUCCCAGGGGUCCAGGGACUGGGCUUUGUAGACUCAGCCCUGAGUGACAAGUGCUUGAGAAUGACUUGGGGCUCUGGUCAGUCCAGAGACAUCCAAGUGUGAACGUGGGCCUGAGUCUCCUCUCCCUCUUCUGUCAGCUAUCUCUCCUCCUAGGACCUACCCCUGUUCCAGGGUGGGGCCAUGAGCCCUGAAAUGAACCAGUGAAGUGACGGCAUGUGAAAUGAUCUGGAGAGGCUGCCCUGAGCCCUUGGCCCGCGGCAGGCGGUCCAGGCUGAGUCCCUGCCCCGCCCUCGUCCAUCCCUGCUUACUGUCACGGGAGCAGCCUGGGCCAGACUGAGUCCUGGCAUCUCCUCCAGCAGAGCUCCUUAGUGCUUGUCACAGAUAGGAAGUUGUCAUAUGUGGGCAACACACAGGGUUUGGGACAACUGGCCUGGGCUCCUGGUUGGCCCAGACUCCACACAGUUCCCUGAUGGCUGAGGGGAUCAGUGGUCCAGCAUGUCUGUGUUUGUCCCCUCACAGGGAAUGUUUGCUCUAGAGUGUGGUCCCCAGGCUUCAGUGGGCCUCCCCUGGAGGGGCGUGGUUAAACACAAAUCCCACAUCCCCCCACCCUCAUCUCCGAGCUUCUGAUUCAGUCUGUCUGGGAUGUGGCCUGAGAACCUACAUUUCUCAAGUACCCAGAGGCUGUAGGUGCCACUGUCCUAGGGCAGCUCUUUGAGAACUGAUGCUCUGGUGGCUGGUGGGGGUGGUGUCCACCUCCCCCUCACCCUCCCUGGCUGCCUGGUGAGGGUCAGACAUCAAAUGAGAUGCUGAGCCUCCAGCGUCUGGCCUGCUAUGACACACUGGCCCUGAGGUACUUCCUUCCUGGCUCUGCUGGCUGCCCCCUGCCCCCCCCAGGUCUGAGUGCUGCACCCCCUGUGUGGACUUUGCUGAGACCAGUUCAACAUCUCCCAUCACUUGCUCUACCCUGAUGGGUCCUUCUGGGUAGUUAACACGGCACAAGUUUUCCCAGCGUCAUUCCCGGAAAGCUGAGUGGCUGGAUGAGACUUGCGUCUUGCUCUCAGAGUUCACAAACGGACAGAAGUCAAGUUCAGAAUCAACUCUGUGGAAUCCAGGAAGAGACGCACUGCCCACCCUCAGACUCAGCUCUUGUGGCCCCGUAAGAGCCUCUGACACUCACACUAACCCGCACGAGGCAUGCCACAUGCCUGGCCAUCUGGCAGCCUGCUUGGAUCCACAGAAAGGCCCUUGGACAACAUCUGACAUGGCCCUUCCUUCUACGGACAGGGUUCUCUAGGGUUGGGGUCUGGUCCCAGGCCACACCCCGAGUCAAGAGCAGUGCAGAGCCUGGAGCUUAGGCCCAUGCUGUCCCAGCCCAGUGGAAGGUCACUGAACGGGCAGGGUGACUUCCCGCCACCUGGCUUUGUUGCCAUGGUGACAUUGCAUAAGACCAGACUGCCAGACUUUGGAGAAGAGCAUCCUAAUUGGAACCCACCCGAGGUCCUGGACCACCUCCACUCUCUAGUGUAACGCAUGCCUCGGCCUCAGAGAAGCUCCUUGUUACCUUUGCUUGUGUCUGUCCCCUACCCUCCUCCCUCCUCUGUUCUCUAACUAUCUCAAAAAAAAAAAAAAAAAAAAAAAAA